GUGAAACAGGAGAGCCUGGCCAACCUGGUAUUGUGGGUGAGAGGGGUGAAGCUGGCUUGCCAGGCCCACCUGGGUUGCCAGGAAUGAGAGGAGAAAAAGGAGAUCAGGGAGAAAAAGGAAGAGCUGGACUGCCUGGCUUCAAAGGGGAAAGAGGUGACAAGG